UCGCCCGCCACCCCCCCGAGCGUGCGUCCGGCCGGCAGCGGGCGGCGGGCCGGACCGGGGGCGGGGGCGGCGGGGCCGGCACAGGAAGUCCCCCCGGCAUCCGCAUCCUGUCCCCCGCCCGCCACCCGCGCGCCCCGCGCCCCGGCCCCCGCGCCGCCGCCGCCGCCGCUCUAGGCCGCGGCGAGCUCGGUGGGCUUAACCCUUCCGGGCCCGGCCGCGCACCCGCGGGGGUGGCGAGACUGUCGCUGCCCCGAGGGGGGCGGGGCGGCUCCAGGCUCCAGGCUCCUGCUCAACCCCCCCCCACCCCGCGCCACCGUGGAGACGCGUGCGGUCUCAGGGCGCCCCUGGCCGGGCUGCUAGUUGUGGUUCAUUAGCGCUCAAUUAGAUGACACUCAACUGAUGGGGAGGCCCCAUUCCGCCCCCAGCGGACCCCAAAGAGGCCUCCCCCUCCGCACCUUGAACCCCUCCUCCUGGAGCCCCGGAUGGCGAAGGCAGGCCUGCGGGGGGCGUGGUGUUUGUGCCCGCUUGGACAGUGGGUCGGGACCCCAAAGGACCAGACCUUGUUAACUGAAGGUGUUGGCUCCCACCUCUCUGAAGACAGCUAACUUUGUUCCUGCUUCCUUCAUCGUCCUUGUUUGCUCCAAUUCAUUUCAACAACAACAACAACAACAACAACAACAACAACAACAACAACAAAGUGUUUGUUUCAUUUCUCCUGUUGAAGGAUUUCCUAAGCUGCCAGGUGAUGCUGGGCUGUGGUGUGGAGUGAAUCGAUCGGCAUGCAAGAGAGGGGUGUGGACAGUUGGGGAGCCCGCCAUGGGGAGGGGUGUCCUCCAGCAUCUCUUAGUGUUUUCUCUCGGGCUGCUCAAUUUGUCUAGAAAGGACUCGUUUGAUCACCUGCCUGGGCAAGUAAUUUGGCCAUGAGCGUUCUAGGAGCCAAAUGGGGAAAGAGAAGACUCCCAUUUCAGAAAGCAGAUUUCGCUAAAUCCCCAUGGUUUCAAGAACUCUUCCUGCCUUUGGCUCUGCCCAGUGUCCCCAGAGUCAGAGCCUAUUUGGUACCAGGCUUUUGCCAGAGCACAUGCGAAGGGGGAGGGGAGGUCUGGAGACCCGCCUGGCAGCAAUCUUUCCGUUUCCAGCCCUACUGGGAACCUCGGGUUCUGAAGGCUUUCUGGGCAGUGGGGAGGGGGGCGGGGAUCAGGUUGUUCUUCUUGGCUUCCCCCUCUGAUAGCUUAGUCUUCUGCUAAGUCAGGUCCUUUCAGGUCCAUCUGAGUUCCAGUUUCUAAUAUCUUAAGCUUUUGAUUUAUUUUUUUCCUUACUGAGAGAGACACAGCAGAGACAGCAAAAGGGACAGAGAGAAGAAGAGACAGAGAAGACAAGACCAUGGGCCAGGAGCGGGUCCCUCAGUAGGGGGCAGAAUGCGACAGACUUGCACCCAGCUGACGGCUUGGGGCUUCAGGAAGUUUUCUCUCCCACUGGGGAGGGUGGAGGAGGUUUGGAAUAUGAUCCUGGGAAGAAUGGCAGGCUGGGGAGCAGCGCUGAUGGCCUGGAAUGCAUCUAAAGCACUCAUGGUGGUGGCCCAGGGAGCAAAUGUCGGGCAUGGCUUCCUCAGGUCAAUCCCCUCCCUCCUCCCCGCAGUGUCCCCUCCCAGAGCACCAGGAACCCAUGGCGUUCGCCUGAUUCUGUUUUUACAAUCUGAUUGGGGUCUUGCCAGCUGCAAGGGCAAAGGGUUCGUCUGGGUUGGUCACCCUUGUCUUCCCAAUACUUCCUUCAGUUGACACGCAACACGUAUUUGUCAAAUGAAUCAAUAAAAUAACCAAAAACACUUGCUA